rnacentral:rRNA from 1 species
GUGGGGAAUCUUAGACAAUGGGGGAAACCCUGAUCUAGCCAUGCCGCGUGAUCGAUGAAGGCCUUAGGGUUGUAAAGAUCUUUCAGCUGGGAAGAUAAUGACGGUACCAGCAGAAGAAGCCCCGGCUAACUCCGUGCCAGCAGCCGCGGUAAUACGGAGGGGGCUAGCGUUGUUCGGAAUUACUGGGCGUAAAGCGCACGUAGGCGGAUUGGAAAGUUGGGGGUGAAAUCCCGGGGCUCAACCCCGGAACUGCCUUCAAAACUCCCAGUCUUGAGGUCGAGAGAGGUGAGUGGAAUUCCGAGUGUAGAGGUGAAAUUCGUAGAUAUUCGGAGGAACACCAGUGGCGAAGGCGGCUCACUGGCUCGAUACUGACGCUGAGGUGCGAAAGCGUGGGGAGCAAACAGGAUUAGAAACCCGUGUAGUCC